rnacentral:rRNA from 1 species
ACGAUCGGUAGCCGGACUGAGAGGUUGAACGGCCACAUUGGGACUGAGACACGGCCCAGACUCCUACGGGAGGCAGCAGUGGGGAAUAUUGCACAAUGGGGGAAACCCUGAUGCAGCGACGCCGCGUGGAGGAAGAAGGUCUUCGGAUUGUAAACUCCUGUUGUUGAGGAAGAUAAUGACGGUACUCAACAAGGAAGUGACGGCUAACUACGUGCCAGCAGCCGCGGUAAAACGUAGGUCACAAGCGUUGUCCGGAAUUACUGGGUGUAAAGGGAGCGCAGGCGGGAAGACAAGUUGGAAGUGAAAUCUAUGGGCUCAACCCAUAAACUGCUUUCAAAACUGUUUUUCUUGAGUAGUGCAGAGGUAGGCGGAAUUCCCGGUGUAGCGGUGGAAUGCGUAGAUAUCGGGAGGAACACCAGUGGCGAAGGCGGCCUACUGGGCACCAACUGACGCUGAGGCUCGAAAGUGUGGGUAGCAAACAGGAUUAGAUACCCUGGUAGUCCACACCGUAAACGAUGAUUACUAGGUGUUGGAGGAUUGACCCCUUCAGUGCCGCAGUUAACACAAUAAGUAAUCCACCUGGGGAGUACGACCGCAAGGUUGAAACUCAAAGGAAUUGACGGGGGCCCGCACAAGCAGUGGAGUAUGUGGUUUAAUUCGACGCAACGCGAAGAACCUUACCAAGUCUUGACAUCCUGCGACGAUGCUGGAAACAGUAUUUUCCUUCGGGACGCAGAGACAGGUGGUGCAUGGUUGUCGUCAGCUCGUGUCGUGAGAUGUUGGGUUAAGUCCCGCAACGAGCGCAACCCUUACUGUCAGUUACUACGCAAGAGGACUCUGGCAGGACUGCCGUUGACAAAACGGAGGAAGGUGGGGAUGACGUCAAAUCAUCAUGCCCUUUAUGACUUGGGCUACACACGUACUACAAUGGCGUUAAACAAAGAGAAGCAAGACCGCGAGGUGGAGCAAAACUCAGAAACAACGUCCCAGUUCGGACUGCAGGCUGCAACUCGCCUGCACGAAGUCGGAAUUGCUAGUAAUCGUGGAUCAGCAUGCCACGGUGAAUACGUUCCCGGGCCUUGUACACACCGCCCGUCACACCAUGAGAGCCGGGGGGACCCGAAGUCGGUAGUCUAACCGCAAGGAGGACGCCGCCGAAGGUAAAACUGGUGAUUGGGGUGAAGUCGUAACAAGGUAGCCGUAGGAGAACCUGCGGCUGGAUCACCUCCUUUCUAAGGA